GACGAACGCUGGCGGCGUGCUUAACACAUGCAAGUCGAACGGAAAGGCCCUGCUUUUGUGGGGUGCUCGAGUGGCGAACGGGGGAGUAACACGUGAGUAACCUGCCCUUGACUUUGGGAUAACUUCAGGAAACUGGGGCUAAUACCGGAUAGGAGCUCCUGCUGCAUGGUGGGGGUUGGAAAGUUUCGGCGGUUGGGGAUGGACUCGCGGCUUAUCCGCUUGUUGGUGGGGUAGUGGCUUACCAAGGCUUUGACGGGUAGCCAGCCUGAGAGGGUGACUGGCCACAUUGGGACUGAGAUACGGCCCAGACUCCUACGGGAGGCAGCAGUGGGGAAUAUUGCACAAUGGGCGGAAGCCUGAUGCAGCAACGCCGCGUGCGGGAUGACGGCCUUCGGGUUGUAAACCGCUUUCGCCUGUGACGAAGCGUGAGUGACGGUAAUGGGUAAAGAAGCACCGGCUAACUACGUGCCAGCAGCCGCCGUAACAC
rnacentral:rRNA from 1 species